rnacentral:rRNA from 1 species
GUGUCAGCAGCCGCGGUAAUACGGAGGGUGCGAGCGUUGUCCGGAAUCACUGGGCGUAAAGGGCGCGUAGGCGGCCUGGCAAGUCAAUGGUGAAAGCUCGUGGCUCAACUGCGAGUCGGCCACUGAUACUGCUGGGCUGGAGCACUGUAGAGGCAGAUGGAAUUCCGGGUGUAGCGGUGGAAUGCGUAGAGAUCCGGAAGAACACCGGUGGCGAAGGCGGUCUGCUGGGCAGUUGCUGACGCUGAGGCGCGACAGCGUGGGGAGCAAACAGGAUUAGAUACCCUGGUAGUCC